rnacentral:rRNA from 1 species
CUGACCGAUAGUGAACUAGUACCGCGAGGGAAAGGUGAAAAGAACCCCGGAAGGGGAGUGAAAUAGUAUCUGAAACCAUUGACUAACAAUCAGACAGAGUCUUGUGCUUCGCACUUAUUCAAUUAUGAAUUAUCAAUGACGAAUUACGAAUUAUUCAUUCGUAAUUGUACAUUCGUAAUUUCCUAAUUGAGUGGGUGCGGAGUACAGGGUAAUGUCGUGCCUAUUGAAGAAUGAGCCAGCGAGUAUUCGGUAUGUUGCGUAGAGCUUAACCAAGUAAAUCUUGGGAAAGCGUAGGGAAACCAAGUCCUAACAGGGCGUUUUGUCUUUUGACAAAAAGUAGCAACCGAAUGACCCGAAACCAGGUGAACUAGCCUUGAGCAGGGUGAAGCUUCGUGAGAACGAAGUGGAGGCCCGAACCCGUUAUCGGUGAAAUGAUUUGGGAUGACUUGAGGCUAGAGGUAAUAUGCCAAUCGAACCUGGAAAUAGCUGGUUCUCCCCGAGAUAUAUUUAGGUAUAGCCUCCUGUGGUUAUGUUGUGGGGUAGAGCUACUGGAAAAUGUUGGUGGCAGCAAUGCUAUCUGCAUUUACCAAACUCCGAAUACACAACAAUUAGCAGGGGAGUCAGACUCGCCCGUAUAAGCGGGUGUGGUCUAAAGGGAAACAGCCCAGAUUCUCGUCUAAGGUUCCAAAAUAUCUGUUAAGUGGAAAAGGCCGUUUUAUCUCCAAUACAGCAGGGAGGUUGGCUUAGAAGCAGCCACCCUUUAAAGACAGCGUAACAGCUCACCUGAAUAGUGUUCGAUUUAUCGGACUUGGAGAUAUUGCGCCUAAAAUGAUCGGAGCUCAAACAGAUUACCGAAGACAGAGGCCCUGACGUUAUGCGUCGGGGCGGUAGGGGAGCGUUCUUAUUGCAGUGAAGUUUUGAUGUAAGUCAGGAUGGAGCGAUAAGAAGUGAGAAUGCUGGCAUGAGUAAUGAUUCUCCCGAUGAGAACUCGGGAUACCGAAUGUUCGAGGUUUCCUCAGCAACGUCAGUCGACUGAGGGUUAGUCGGAUCUAACCGUCCUACCGAGCGGUAGGGGGGGAUGUACAAGCAGUUAAUAUUCUGCUACUACUUGUAGCGCGUUAUUAUGUGGCCGCUGACGAAAUAUGACAAGCGAAGCACGCUAUAUGCGUGUCCAAGCAACAAAUCCUUUGCAUUUGUAAAGGGAAAGUUGUUAAUGCAAAUUCAUCUUUGAUGGAAGAGUUCGUGUAUUUAUGUUUCCGAGAAAAGGUGGUUCACAGAGUUUUACAAGUAUCCGUACCGCAAACCGACACAGGUGAACAGGUCGAGUAGACCAAGGUAUACGGGUCAUAGUGGUUCAAGGAACUCGGCAAAAAAGCUGAGCGUAAGUUUUGCGAUAUGCUCUGCCCCGCUUUGCGGGGCCGCAGCGAAAGUUUUUCAACCGACUGUUUACCAAAAACACAGGUUCCUGCUAACCAGAAAAUGGGAUGUAUAGGAGCUGAGGCCUGUCCGGUGCUGGUCAGUUAAUCGUUGGGGUUGAUCCCAAGUUGCGUAAGUUACUUGGAUGAGGCUCUGGCGCAAGCUCCAGUGAACGACAGCUCUAACCCUGAGAGUUCUAAGGUAGCGUAGCCCCUUGCCGGGUAAGUUCCGGCCUGCAUGAAUGGCUUAACG